rnacentral:tRNA from 1 species
AUCGAUAGAAGCAUUCUAAUCCGCCUAUUUAGAGAGGAACGAUUCCUCGUCUGAGAACCGCCAUUCACG